UGUUACGGUAAAAUCUGGGUGCGGGGCUACUCUGCCACCCAGCUCAUCGGACUAGGUCCGCGGGUCCCUGCAGAAGAAAAUGAGCUCAGCCGGAGACAGGAGCAAACUGCAGAAGAUCCAAGUUUAUUGCGCAACAGGUUCAAGGCGAGAUUGAACAGCGAGAAAGGGGUGACAUGAACUUUUGAAAUUUCCCUCCAUGUCCCAGAAUACAGUGCAAAAUACAUCCCAGUUACAUCAUGAAUACAUUAAGAAGAGGUUGGGUUACACAGAUUACAUCACGAAUACAUUAGGAAGAGGUUGGGUUACACCGGAUUAACAUAUGGAGGAGGGAGGGGGGAAUAUGCAGAGCUGGAGAUAUGCGCAGAUAAGCACAUCCUGAGAAGACAAUGGUCCAUGUAUGCAUAGUCUGUCACCUGGCAUCGCCCGGAGGAAGGGCUUGGCAGAGCGAUUUGACAGGAUUAGGGUCUUGACACCUUGCUUGAGGGAUUAUGGAGGACAGGGGAGGUGUCAUGGAGUCCUAGAGAAAUUGAGCAAAUUGGCACGUUGAUUUUCUAUGAAUGUUAUAGAUUUUAGUCCCUUUUGACAUUGACAAUUGGAAAUAAAUGGAUAUAUUGUAGCGAAGAAGAAGGUGAAGAAGACAUGCCCCCCCUUCCGUAUCAGUCCCCCAUUCGGAGACAGAUUUGCAUUAAAGUUCUGUAAGAACUUGCAAAUCUUUUCUCCGCACCCUAAAUCUCGGUGAAUGUAGGGGUGCCCUGUGAGUGGGAAUAGGCUCUAAUGGAAAAGGAGGUGGGUUGAGCAGGGCAGCAAAAGAGGGAGCAACACGGACGAAUACAAUGUAUGCGCGUGUUAUAUAGAUAUGCGCUAAAUAAUAACUUGGUAUCUACCGUACCAGAUGUGUGGGUUUAUGCAAACCUGAAAGGGACUUGCAAGCCAUGCCUCUUACGGUCAUUUGCAAGUAUAGCAGUGCAGAUAGCUGGAUAUAGGGUAUUAUAUAAAAGAACACCUGUUGUAUUUUGUUACUAAAUUACUUGUGGCAUUCUAGGUCUUGGGAGAAACAUUUUCAGUAGUGGUGUAUGCUUUACAUUUAGCAGGAAGGUCCACUACUGACUGAAAAAAUGCAGUUUGCUUUUUAGCCCCACCGUUUUUGUGUUUUCAGGUGCCAAGCUAGCUCUUCUGUGGUCUCACACCGGCAUAGUGGUACAGUAACACAUCCUGUUGAAUCCCCUCAGGGCUUUCAUUUAACCAUGUCGCCUGGCACUCACCAUAGCUGGCACAGGUUUGGACAUAUCAUGAGAGAUAUGUCUUUGCCUUGGCCUUUCUAUGGGGUUUUAUUAUUUCAGGCUCUGGUCUUGCACUCAUGGAAAGUUGCUCACUUGCUCUUAAAGGACCAAAAGCUAGUUGCAGCCUGGAUACACGUGCCCAAUUCCAGCAGAGUCCAAUUUGAAUUUAUCUUGCCCCAUGGUUCUCAACUUUUCAAAACCAAUAUGUUAAAACAAAACCAUUCUUAAAAAGGGCCCUUGUCCAAAUGAGUCAAUUUAACUCUAUAAGGGACCAUUCCUGCUACAUCAAGGCAUAUACACGUUUCUUGUUAUCAAUAAUAAUAAUAAUAAUAAUAUGUUGGAGAUGUAAGGAAAGUGAAGGAACCUUAUUCUACAUAUGGUAGUCGUGUCCUCAAAUAAAUAAAUAAAA